rnacentral:rRNA from 1 species
CCAAUAGCGUAUAUUAAAGUUGUUGCAGUUAAAAAGCUCGUAGUUGAAUUUCGGGAUUGACGUGAUGGUCGUGCCUUACGGGGUAUGAACUGUUGCUGUUGAUUUCUCACCUUCUGGAGAAACUUGAUGUCCUUAAUUGGGUGCCUUGCGGAUCCAGGACCUUUACCUUGAAAAAAUUAGAGUGUUUAAAGCAGGCAUUUUUGCUCGAAUACAUUAGCAUGGAAUAAUAGAAUAGGACGGCAUGGUUCUAUUUUGUUGGUUUCUAGGAUCACCGUAAUGAUUAAUAGGGAUAGUUGGGGGCAUUAGUAUUCAAUUGUCUGAGGUGAAAUUCUUGGAUUUAUUGAAGACUAACUACUGCGAAAGCAUUUGCCAAGGAUGUUUUCAUUAAUCAAGAACGAAAGUUAGGGGAUCGAAGACGAUCAGAUACCGUCGUAGUCUUAACCAUAAACUAUGCCGACUAGGAAUCAGACGAUGUUAAUUUUUUAAUGACUCGUUUGGCACCUUACG